UACGGGGGGGGCAAGCGUUGUUCGGAAUUACUGGGCGUAAAGGGCUCGUAGGCGGCCAACUAAGUCGGAUGUGAAAUCCCCAGGCUCAACUUGGGAACUGCAUCCGAUACUGGAUGGCUUGAAUUCGGGAGAGGGAUGCAGAAUUCCAGGUGUAGCGGUGAAAUGCGUAGAUAUCUGGAGGAAUACCGGUGGCGAAGGCGGCAUCCUGGACCGACAUUUGACGCUGAGGAGCGAAAGCUAGGGGAGCAAACGGG
rnacentral:rRNA from 1 species